UAGUGAUUAACGCGAAGAACCUUACCCAGGCUCGAAAUGCAGAUGACCAUCGGUGAAAGCCGACUCCCGCAAGGGCGUCUGUAUAGGUGCUGCAUGGCUGUCGUCAGCUCGUGUCGUGAGAUGUUGGGUUAAGUCCCGCAACGAGCGCAACCCUUGUUUCCUGUUGCCAUCACGUCAAGGUGGGCACUCUGGAGAGACUGCCGGUGACAAACCGGAGGAAGGUGGGGAUGACGUCAAGUCAGCAUGGCCUUUAUGUCUGGGGCCACACACGUGCUACAAUGGCCGGUACAAACCGUCGCGAGCCCGCAAGGGGGAGCUAAUCGGAGAAAGCCGGUCUCAGUUCGGAUUGUCGGCUGCAACUCGCCGGCAUGAAGUUGGAAUCGCUAGUAAUCGCGGAUCAGCACGCCGCGGUGAAUACGUUCCCGGGCCUUGUCACACCGAAUCGAAUUCC
rnacentral:rRNA from 1 species